GUUACAAUCAAGGACUUACGCCGUAGACCGCGAAUGAAACUUCGAAGCGCCUCCUAUGCUAAACAACAGCGUCGUUUUCCCGUGGGUGUUCGAGACAGAAUUCGAAACAUGUUUGAGUCGUGACGAGACUUAGAGAAUCGGAGUGCGCCAGAGUCGAGCGUCGAGUUACCAGUUCGUCCUUUUCUGAGACUGGACGGGGAAACAGUUGCUGUGUCGCCGCACGUAUGUAAAGGCGACAGAAUGAACGGAGGGGAUUAGGGGCCAGACGAUAAAGAGUUAAGUCAGGUAAAGAGUCUAAGAUUACUUGCACGGGAAAUAAACGUGAUGAGGAGAGGUCAGUUUUAUUGAGUAAAAUGAGGUAUUUCCUUAAUCAGGAGCUGUUUCUCUCUUUCUCUCUCUCUCUCGCUUUUAUUUCUAUACUUUCAACUUUUAUUCAUAUUUCUUGGAAGAAGUCUUUCGCCAUGUUUGGAGAUUUUGGUAUAAUAUUUUAGGCCUUAAUUAGUAACAAAAUAUUUGCUCUGACUUUUAUUUUACCAUCAGCAUUUUUCUUUCUUUCUUUGUAAGUUUUUCAUUUCUUUGAAAAAAAAAAAAA